rnacentral:rRNA from 1 species
UACGAAGGGGGCUAGCGUUGCUCGGAAUGACUGGGCGUAAAGGGCGCGUAGGCGGACAGCUUUGUCAGGCGUGAAAUUCCAGGGCUCAACCUUGGGGCUGCGUUUGAGACGGGUUGUCUUGAGUGGAGAAGAGGGUCGUGGAAUUCCCAGUGUAGAGGUGAAAUUCGUAGAUAUUGGGGAAGAACACCGGUGGCGAAGGCGGCGACCUGGUCUUUUACUGACGCUGAGGCGCGAAAGCGUGGGGAGCAAACAGG